rnacentral:rRNA from 1 species
UACGUAGGGCGCAAGCGUUGUCCGGAAUUAUUGGGCGUAAAGAGCUCGUAGGUGGCGUGUCGCGUCUGCCGUGAAAGCCCAUGGCUUAACUGUGGGUCUGCGGUGGAUACGGGCAGGCUGGAGGCUGGUAGGGGCAAGCGGAAUUCCUGGUGUAGCGGUGAAAUGCGCAGAUAUCAGGAAGAACACCCGUGGCUAAGGCGGCUCUCUAGUACGGUACUGACGCUGAGACGCGAAAGCGUGGGGAGCGAACAGG